UUGCCGUGAUGACAAUCUUAGGACACCUUUGGAACACCCAUUAAAAAAAAUAAGUUAUUUCUGAGCAAC
rnacentral:snoRNA from 1 species